GAUGAACGCUGGCGGCGCGCCUAACACAUGCAAGUCGAACGGUUAAAGCAUCUUCGGAUGUGCAUAAAGUGGCGAACGGCUGAGUAACACGUGGGCAACCUGCCCCUCGCAUCGGGACAGCCUCGGGAAACCGUGGCUAAUACCGGAUACUCCGCCACCCCCGCAUGGGGGAGGCGGGAAAGCCCAGACGGCGAGGGAUGGGCCCGCGGCCUGUUAGCUUGUUGGUGGGGCAGUGGCCCACCAAGGCGAUGAUGGGUAGCCGGGUUGAGAGACCGACCGGCCAGAUUGGGACUGAGACACGGCCCAGACUCCUACGGGAGGCAGCAGUGGGGAAUCUUGCGCAAUGGGCGAAAGCCUGAUGCAGCGACGCCGCGUGCGGGACGAAGGCCUUCGGGUCGUAAACCGCUUUCAGCAGGGACGAGGC
rnacentral:rRNA from 1 species